rnacentral:lncRNA from 1 species
AAGAGACAGCGCCGCCGGCCGUGGGGAGCGGACGCAGUGAUUUGCUCCCCCUCGUGCAGCAACCCCCACACCCAGCACCAGGCCCCCAGAACUCUCCUUCCAGCUGAACUCCCUGGGAACAAGUCAGUUGGGCUGAUCACUGAACUCACAUUUCUGGACCUGAGGUACCACACUUCUAGUACCUGCGUGCUGGUGGGGUGUGUCCAGGGUCCCGGGCC